rnacentral:rRNA from 1 species
CAGCAGCCGCGGGAAUACGUAGGUGGCAAGCGUUGUCCGGAAUUAUUGGGCGUAAAGCGCGCGCAGGCGGAUAGGUCAGUCUGUCUUAAAAGUUUGGGGCUUAACCCCGUGAUGGGAUGGAAACUGCCAAUCUAGAGUAUCGGAGAGGAAAGUGGAAUUCCUAGUGUAGCGGUGAAAUGCGUAGAUAUUAGGAAGAACACCAGUGGCGAAGGCGACUUUCUGGACGAAAACUGACGCUGAGGCGCGAAAGCCAGGGGAGCGAACGGGAUUAGAGACCCCUGUAGUCCCCGUCUCUUAUACC